rnacentral:sRNA from 1 species
ACCAGGCACAGUGGUGCAUGCCUAUAAUCCCAGUACUCAGGAGGCUGAGGCAGGAGGAUCACAAGUUUAAAGCCAGCCUGGGCAACUUAGUGAGACCCUGUCUCAA